rnacentral:rRNA from 1 species
CCUACGGGGGGCUGCAGUGGGGAAUAUUGGACAAUGGGCGCAAGCCUGAUCCAGCAAUGCCGCGUGUGUGAAGAAGGCCUGCGGGUUGUAAAGCACUUUAAGCAGGAAAGAAGGGGUGAAAGUUAAUACCUUUCAUCAUUGACGUUACCUGCAGAAUAAGCACCGGCUAACUCCGUGCCAGCAGCCGCGGUAAUACGGAAGGUGCGAGCGUUAAGCGGGAUUACGCGGCGUAAACCGCCCGUAGGGAAAUCCCUGGGCUUAACCUGGGAACUGCGGUGGAUACUGUCGGGCUAGAGUGUGGUAGAGGGGAGUGGAAUUUCCGGUGUAGCAGUGAAAUGCGUAGAGAUCGGAAGGAACACCAGUGGCGAAGGCGGCUCCCUGGACUAACACUGACGCUGAGGUGCGAAAGCGUGGGGAGCAAACAGGAUUAGAUACCCUAGUAGUC